rnacentral:tRNA from 1 species
GUUCCUGUAGUGCAAUGGAUAGCGCGUUGGAGUUCUUAUCCAGAGGUCGUGGGUUCGAAUCACACCUGGGAUG